rnacentral:lncRNA from 1 species
GUCGGUACUUGAAGAAGCGGAGCCAGGGCUGAGAUCCCGAAGGCGGGCGAGGUCUGGGAUGGGGCGGGGCCUAUGGGAGCGGGGCUGAAGCCCUGGGCCCGGCAGAGGAAGGUCGAGAUGGACCAUGUUGGGCCCCUUCUCUCCCCGCCCCCAGGCCGCAGUUCGGGGGCCACGCCCCGGCGUGCUCGGGUCACCGCGGGAAGCCCUUGAACCCCCUGGCGCCCGGCACCCACGUGCGGUAACCGCGGCUCCUCGAGAGCUCCAGGGAUGCGGAUCUACAGUAAGGGCUGUGGCCAGAUGAAUGAAUGCACAUUUUUUAGUGGGCAGAAAGAUGUUAGAAUUCAUGAAUUAGAAUAAGCACAAAGGAGGGCGAGAGGGGAGGCCGUGGAAGCCGCAUUCCUCCCCUUGCCUUGGGCGCCCACCCCCGAAGGGGCGCGUCCCCUCCCUGCUCCACUGCACGUGGGUGUUUAACCAGGGGAUAUCCAGUGCCUCAAGCACCACGACCCGGGAGAAAACUGAGUUGAGAAGGCCUUGGGGAUGAAGGUGAGAAAUUCGAGAAUCCCCGGAGAUAACACAUCAGCAAAUAGUGCGCAGGCAGAACAAGCUGUUGGAGGUGAGAGACACAGAGCAGAGAAGCACCCGCACCUGGAGAGUCAGGAGGGCCUCACAUCAGAACGCCUGAGCAAAUACAGUUUUGAAGGAUACUAAUUUUUUAAAAAGUUCAUUCACAUGAGUUAGACAAAGAGAAAGAAGCAGGACAUUCUAGGAAGAAGGAACGGCCCAGGCAAAAGCGACGCGUACAUUGGCGUGGGUCCAUUCAAGAAUUGUGCCCACAAUAUACCAGGCACUUGUCCAGACCUGCAUCGUCCAAUGCCCACCUCGACCUCCCAAAGUGUUGGGAUUAGAGGCGUGAGCCACCGCGCCCUGCCUGCAUGUGGCUAUUGAGAUGUGCUGUAUGAUACACACCGGACUUUGAAGACUCAGUGUGAAAAAUAAAAAGAAUUUUAAGAGGGGUGGGGGUCGAGGGGAGGCAGAGCAGUAGGACAAAUAGCUAAUGCACGCAGGGCUUAAAACCUAGACAACAGGUUGAUGGGUGCAGCAAACCACCAUGACACAUGUUUAUCUAUAUAGCACCUACAUGUUCUGCACUUGUAUCCUGGAACUUAAAAUUAGAAAAAAAAAAUAAUAAAAGCCAACAUGGCAUUCAUUACUGCCAAAAAAAUUAAAA